GAUGAUUGAUAAUCAACAUUUUUAAUGUGCAAAGUUUGAUGGACUGGCUUAAAAUGUUUGGAAACUUAAGAGGCUUAAAAUAUAAAAUGCUACUAGUAUUUUCCAUUAUCAACUUUAUUAUGGUCUCAAAGAUUGAAAUAAUUACAAGUAAAUUUUAUUCAAAUCAAACAAUUUAAGAGGGCAAGAUCAUUAGUUUCACCUUUUCCAUUUUUGUUCAUCUUCAUCUUGCAUAUUUAAAGUUCGAAACAAUACUUG
rnacentral:lncRNA from 1 species